UACGUAGGGUGCGAGCGUUAAUCGGAAUUACUGGGCGUAAAGUGUGCGCAGGCGGCGCCGCAAGUCGAGCGUGAAAGCCCCCGAGCUUAACUUGGGAAUUGCGCUCGAAACUAUGGUGCUGGAGUGUGGCAGAGGAAGGUGGAAUUCCACGUGUAGCGGUGAAAUGCGUAGAUAUCUGGAGGAACACCGGUGGCGAAGGCGGCAUCCUGGACCGGCAUUGACGCUGAGGCGCGAAAGCCAGGGGAGCAAAGCGGG
rnacentral:rRNA from 1 species